UGGGAUUUCUGGAAAUGUGGUAAUAUUUGAGUUAGAGACUCUUUGGCUUAAUAUUCUCCAUUUAUUUGUCUGGUGACUAGUCGGGAGUCACUUUAGCAUCUUAGCUAUUUUACACAGAGUUCUUGUGCAAGUUUCAAAUUGAUAAUAAAAGCCUUGUAUUUAGCUUGGCUAUUUUAAGUAUUAAAAUAGAAUUGAAUAGCUUAUUCAAUAAUGAUGUUAUCUGCUCCAUCCAAGUUGAUACUUGCCCCAGUGCCUUUCUUAUUUG
rnacentral:lncRNA from 1 species